AGGAUGAACGCUGGCGGUCUGCUUAACACAUGCAAGUCGAACGAAUCCCUUCGGGGAUGAGUGGCGGACGGGUGAGUAACGCGUGAGAAUCUGCCUUUUGGUCGGGGACAACCACUGGAAACGGUGGCUAAUACCGGAUAAGCCUGCGGGUAAAAGAUUAAUUGCCAAAAGAGGAGCUCGCGUCUGAUUAGCUAGUUGGUAGGGUAAAAGCCUACCAAGGCGACGAUCAGUAGCUGGUCUGAGAGGAUGAUCAGCCACACUGGGACUGAGACACGGCCCAGACUCCUACGGGAGGCAGCAGUGGGGAAUUUUCCGCAAUGGGCGAAAGCCUGACGGAGCAAGACCGCGUGAGGGAGGAAGGCUUUUGGGUCGUAAACCUCUUUUCUCAGGGAAGAAAAAAAUGACGGUACCUGAGGAAUAAGCCUCGGCUAACUCCGUGCCAGCAGCCGCGGUAAUACGGAGGAGGCAAGCGUUAUCCGGAAUUAUUGGGCGUAAAGCGUCCGUAGGUGGCACAUCAAGUCUGCGGUCAAAGACCGGGGCUUAACCCUGGAAAGGCCGUGGAAACUGAAGUGCUAGAGUGCAGUAGGGGUAGAGGGAAUUCCCGGUGUAGCGGUGAAAUGCGUAGAGCUCGGGAAGAACAUCGGUGGCGAAAGCGCUCUACUGGACUGCAACUGACACUGAGGGACGAAAGCUAGGGGAGCGAAUGGGAUUAGAUACCCCAGUAGUCCUAGCCGUAAACGAUGGAUACUAGGUGUGGCUUGUAUCGACCCGAGCUGUGCCGUAGCUAACGCGUUAAGUAUCCCGC
rnacentral:rRNA from 1 species